AGGGGAACCAGGUGAUUGCGUGCCUAUUGAAGACAGCAUCAACACUUCUUGUUUCUCUCU
ensembl:miRNA mdo-mir-505 mdo-mir-505